UAAAACCAGCACCUCAAGUGGUCAGGAGGAUUAUUGGGCCUAAAGCAUCCGUAGCCUGUUCUAUAAGUUUCCGGUUAAAUCCAUUAGCUCAACUAAUGGGCUGCCGAAAAUACUGUAGAACUAGGGAGUGGGAGAGGUAGACGGUAUUCGGUAGGAAGGGGUAAAAUCCUUUGAUCUAUUGAGGACCACCUGUGGCGAAGGCGGUCUACCAGAACACGUUCGACGGUGAGGGAUGAAAGCUGGGGGAGCAAACCGGAUUAGAUACCCGGGUAGUCCCAGCCGUAAACGAUGCAGACUCGGUGAUGCGCUGGCUUGUGGCCAGUGCAGUGCCGCAGGGAAGCCGUUAAGUUUGCCGCCUGGGAAGUACGUACGCAAGUAUG
rnacentral:rRNA from 2 species